CCUACGGGAGGCAGCAGUGGGGAAUAUUGGACAAUGGGGGCAACCCUGAUCCAGCCAUGCCGCGUGUGUGAAGAAGGCCCUCGGGUUGUAAAGCACUUUCAGUGAGGAAGAACGCCUGGUGGUUAAUACCCAUCAGGAAAGACAUCACUCACAGAAGAAGCACCGGCUAACUCCGUGCCAGCAGCCGCGGUAAUACGGAGGGUGCGAGCGUUAAUCGGAAUUACUGGGCGUAAAGCGCGCGUAGGGGGCUUGAUAAGCCGGUUGUGAAAGCCCCGGGCUCAACCUGGGAACGGCAUCCGGAACUGUCAAGCUAGAGUGCAGGAGAGGAAGGUAGAAUUCCCGGUGUAGCGGUGAAAUGCGUAGAGAUCGGGAGGAAUACCAGUGGCGAAGGCGGCCUUCUGGACUGACACUGACACUGAGGUGCGAAAGCGUGGGUAGCAAACAGGAUUAGAUACCCGAGUAGUC
rnacentral:rRNA from 1 species